AUGGCCAGAAAAAGGAGAAAGGAUGUUCUACAGGAAAAAAAUAAGGAAACUGGAUCAAAAGGGAGCACAGACUUAACCCAAAUAGUGACAAAAGAUCACACAAGUCAAAAAAAAGAAAGAAAGAAAGAAAGAAACCAAUCCAGCAGUACAUGUCUCAAGUCCCCUCUGAUAGAUUAG
rnacentral:lncRNA from 1 species